GCAGAGAUGGCUCAGUGUUUAAGAGCACUGACUCCUCUUCCAGAGGUCCUGAGUUCAAUUCCCAGCAACCGUG
rnacentral:tRNA from 1 species